rnacentral:rRNA from 1 species
GACGAACGCUGGCGGCGUGCUUAACACGUGCAAGUCGAACGGAAAGGCCCUGCUUUUGUGGGGUGCUCGAGUGGCGAACGGGUGAGUAACACGUGAGUAACCUGCCCUUGACUUUGGGAUAACUUCAGGAAACUGGGGCUAAUACCGGAUAGGAGCUCCUGCUGCAUGGUGGGGGUUGGAAAGUUUCGGCGGUUGGGGAUGGACUCGCGGCUUAUCAGCUUGUUGGUGGGGUAGUGGCUUACCAAGGCUUUGACGGGUAGCCGGCCUGAGAGGGUGACCGGACACAUUGGGACUGAGAUACGGACCAGACUGCUACGGGAGGCAGCAGUGGGGAAUAUUGCACAAUGGGCGGAAGCCUGAUGCAGCAACGCCGCGUGCGGGAUGACGGCCUUCGGGUUGUAAACCGCUUUCGCCUGUGACGAAGCGUGAGUGACGGUAAUGGGUAAAGAAGCACCGGCUAACUACGUG